rnacentral:lncRNA from 1 species
CUGCAAUUAGUUCUGACUAGAGUAGCUUGUCCUGAAGACAAGGAUUUAUUUAUUCUUAAGCAGCUGGGGCUGUUGCAGCUUCAGGUUACCUGUGGAAAUUGCAGCUCAGUUUUCUUUCUCUCGAGUCACCAUAGAACAGUUUGGGUUGGAAGGGACCUUUAAAGGAUCUGGAAGAUGCCAUGAGGAGUCACAGCAAUAUCCAUGGAUAACCUUUCCUGGCUGGCUUUGAUGUCCUUUGGGAAGAAUGAUGUAAUCCAUGGAGGUCCUGCCUUGUUUGCCUGGCAGCCCAGCAGGAAUGUGAGCACCACACAGCCUCAGCUGAGCGUCUCCAGGCUCUCCAGGCUGCAGCAGCAGAGAUUAAUUAAAGUGCCUGAUUGCCAGCAGCAGAGGCAAUUUUGCCAUCAUCUUUAUGGAGUCUCCCUGCUGGAAAAAAAUAAAAAUGAAAAAGAAAACAACAGCAAAAAAAAGAACAUUGAGAGGCUGCACGGUCAAGUGCUCUGAUAUUAAAUUGUGCUGAGGCAGAGAUCACCUCCAACAGCAGAAUUCUGGGAGUUUCACGUGGAUCCUCAGCAUUUCACAGCAGCAGAGACAGGAAGGUGGAGGCAGCACUCCCAGCACAGCCAUCCCUCCCCAGCCCCUUUCCCAUAAAGGUUUUGUCCUUGUCCUGCCCAGCUCCUGGUUUCUGCAGCACCCUGGAAGUCACUGCACCUUUUGGGCACAAGCCCUUCACGCAUCCCAUGGAAAAGGUAGAAAAAUCAGGAAUCCAGAGAUGGCAAACUGCUGGAGCCUGGAAGGUUUGCAAUGAAUGUGGAGAGCAGCAAAUGAAGAUGAUGUGGCUGAUCACCUCCCAUGGCUGCAAUCAAGCUGUGCUGGCUUCCCUGGGAAAAGCAGGGAUGCAGGCACAGCUUCUCUUCCUCUCCAAGUGUGCUAUCCCAAAGGAAUACAGCUCACUUCAUCAGGCUCUGCUUUGCCUUUGCAAAGCCACCCACAGCUUCUCUGGGGGGAGGUGAGGGUGGAGGCUUGUCCCAGAUUAUCUCCUCCCAUCCCAGAGCUUCCCCAAACCUCUGGCAAACCCAGCUCUCCAUCCCCAAAAGGUUAAAAUCAACAGACAUCAGAGCCCCUGCCAGGGCCUAAAGGGGCUCCAGGAGAGCUGGAGAGGGACUGGGGACAAGGAUGGAGGGACAGGACACAGGGAAUGGCUCCCACUGCCAGAGGGCAGGGAUGGAUGGGAGAUUGGGAAUCAGGAAUUGUUCCCUGGCAGGGUGGGCA